CCAAUACAUGCCCAUAUAUGGAGAUUACUUACUAUACUAUCACGGAUAAAGUUUUGGCUAAGAACACAAGGAAAGGGAAGUAUAGAAUGACCUGCAAGAGGGGUCCUACCAUAUUUAACAUAUUUCGCAAUAAGAAAGGUCAUAUCCCGAGAAGUAGAAGAUCAGGGAUAUACUCGAUUCCCCUAUAUAAUAAUGAUGAAAGAAUUGAGCAAUGUUAUAUUGAAAGCACUACUAGGAGCCUGUAGAUUGAUCACAGCCCUGGCACGUAGAGCCUACGAACAAGAUCUCGUAAUUGACUGAGGACAGGCGAGUGUAAUAAAACCUGUGAGUAGACCCAGAGGCCUCACUACUUUUGAGGCUAUAGACUUAGAGAGAAUGACAUGCCGUAAAGACACGAUCAAUGAUGACAGCC
rnacentral:lncRNA from 1 species